UCCCUGCUGGCGCAAUGGUAGCGCGCAAGACUUCUAUUAAUGAUCUCGAAUCCAUUCUAAUCGUCAAUGGCAGUAUAUCUUGAGGCUGCAGGUUCGAAUCCUGCGUGGGGAG